AGUGAACGCUGGCGGUAGGCCUAACACAUGCAAGUCGAACGGCAGCACAGUAAUAGCUUGCUCUUACGGGUGGCGAGUGGCGGACGGGUGAGGAAUACAUCGGAAUCUACUUUUUCGUGGGGGAUAACGUAGGGAAACUUACGCUAAUACCGCAUACGACCUACGGGUGAAAGCAGGGGAUCUUCGGACCUUGCGCGAUUGAAUGAGCCGAUGUCGGAUUAGAUAGUUGGCGGGGUAAAGGCCCACCAAGGCGACGAUCCGUAGCUGGUCUGAGAGGAUGAUCAGCCACACUGGAACUGAGACACGGUCAAGACUCCUACGAGAGGCAGCAGUCGGGAACAUUGGACAAUGGGCGCAAGCAUGAUCCAGCCAUACCGCGUGGGUGAAGAAGGCCUUCGGGUCGUAAAGACCUUUUGUUGGGAAAGAAAAGCAGCAGGUUAAUACCCCGCUGUUCUGACGGUACCCAAAGAAUAAGCACCGGCUAACUUCGUG
rnacentral:rRNA from 1 species